rnacentral:rRNA from 1 species
GAAACUCCCCUCAAGAUGAGACUUCCAUAUAGGGCCCUCAGAGACGAUGAGGUUGAUAGGCUGCAGGUGUAAAGGCAGUAAUGUCAUAGCUGAGCAGUACUAAUUGCCCGAAAGCUUACUUAC